rnacentral:rRNA from 1 species
GACGAACGCUGGCGGCGUGCCUAAUACAUGCAAGUCGAACGCAUUUUCUUUCACCGUAGCUUGCUACACCGAAAGAAAAUGAGUGGCGAACGGGUGAGUAACACGUGGGUAACCUGCCCAUCAGCGGGGGAUAACACUUGGAAACAGGUGCUAAUACCGCAUAAUUCCAUUUACCGCAUGGUAGAUGGAUGAAAGGCGCUUUUGCGUCACUGAUGGAUGGACCCGCGGUGCAUUAGCUAGUUGGUGGGGUAACGGCCUACCAAGGCUGCGAUGCAUAGCCGACCUGAGAGGGUGAUCGGCCACACUGGGAAUGAGACACGGCCCAGACUCCUACGGGAGGCAGCAGUAGGGAAUCUUCGGCAAUGGACACAAGUCUGACCGAGCAACGCCGCGUGAGUGAAGAAGGGUUUCGGAUCGUAAAACUCUGUUGUUAGAGAAGAACAAGGAUGAGAGUGGAAAGUUCAUCCCUUGACGGUAUCUAACCAGAAAGCCACGGCUAACUACGUG